CUUAUCACAUCCCAACCGCCCAGACUUACCAGGCUUCAAACUCUCUUCAUCCAAAUCCAUCCACUAUGAAUAUUGAUAUUACAGGUUUCUAUGGCGGUUUGACAAAGGAAGAGUUGCGACAGUUCCAGUAGUGAUUAAUAACGGUGGCAUGGUGUGCCGGUGGGGAGGCUACAGUUUCCCCUCGAUUGGGCACUACACCGCUCUAAAUGAGACUUGCACCUGCCGCCGGUAUUCUCAAUAGAUGACAUGUGUAGAUUGUCUAGGGAGAGGGGGGUUGGCUCGCCGAUAUUGGUGUGAACUCACGCCGGCUAUUCUUUUCAGGUUGAAACGAUGAUGGCGAUGGGGGUAGUGUGACGGUGGUCGCAGCUCUGCCAUCGCUUUGGUGCGUCACCUUUAUACGCCGUGCUCAGUGGCGAAGCUUGACCCGAAUGACGGGGGGUCGAAAACGUAUAUACCCAAAAAUUUCUAUACGAAAACUACAUAUAUAACACUACUGAGUGAAAAGUUUGGGGGGUCGGACGCCCCCUCCCGCCCCUGGCCGACUCCCCAUCCUAUCCAACGGUUGUUUGAGGUUGGGUUGAGUGGAACACACAUGUAUUUGUUUUAGAUCUUUAGCCAUAUUAUGGACAAUUAGUUUUAAAGUUUCAUGUUCUUACAAGGAAAAAAUCAUGUUGGUGCACUUGUGUCUGUACUUUGUCUGUA